CCUACGUGAGGCAGCAGUAGGGAAUCUUCCACAAUGGACGAAAGUCUGAUGGAGCAACGCCGCGUGAGUGAAGAAGGGUUUCGGCUCGUAAAGCUCUGUUGUUAGUGAAGAAUGAUAGAGGUAGUAACUGGCAUUUAUUUGACGGUAAUUACUUAGAAAGUCACGGCUAACUACGUGCCAGCAGCCGCGGUAAUAUGUAGGUGGCAAGCGUUGUCCGGAUAUAUUGUGCGUAAAGCGAGUGCAGGCGGUUCAAAAAGUCUGAUGUGAAAGCCGUCGGAACAACAGGAGAAUUGCAUCAGAAACUGUUGAACUUGAGUGCAGAAGAGGAGAGUGGAACUCCAUGUGUAGCGGUGGAAUGCGUAGAUAUAAGGAAGAACACCAGUGGCGAAGGCGGCUCUCUGGUCUGCAACUGACGCUGAGGCUCGAAAGCAUGGGGAGCGAACAGGAUUAGAUACCCCAGUAGUC
rnacentral:rRNA from 1 species